CCUGGGACCCUGCAUCCUCCUGGCAUGAUCCCGAGACAGGGGGACAUCUGAAAGCCCACCUCGUGCCCUCAUUUGUUGUUUUCAUACCUAUUCCCAUGCCUUUGUUCAAGCUGCACCCCUGCCUGGACUGCCCCUCCCUAAUCACCCUCUCGGACUCUGCCCCAGUGCCGCCUCCUACAGGAAGCCUUCCUGAUCCACCCCAAUACACACAAACAGCCUCAACCUGCAGUCAGCUGUCAGCCCUAUGACCCUGUGAUCAACAGGUGUCUACCUCCCUGCUAGCCUCCUGGGGUCCCUUUGGGGCCCCUGUGCCCGGGACGGAAGCUAGCCCAGGGAAGGUGCCGAGCCAUGCUCAUGGGCCUUGUCUUGUCUUCGCAGGCACACGGGACCAGACACUUGGCAGGGACAUCCCCAAUGGGUGGAGCCUUCGGUCGAUCCCAGCCAUGAGCCGAAAGCUAGAAUAGACCACUUCUGCCUGGAGAGACCUGGGCUGGGAGCCCGGCCUGACCCCGGAUCAUCCUUGGGUCUGGGCCCUGCUUGCUCCGAGCCCUCUCCUCCCAUCUCCUGCUCCAUUGGACUCCACAGUGGCCCCCGCUCCUGGAGAUGGGACCGCACAGCGGCCAGACCAGCGCCUUCUCCCGCCUCACCAGGAACCACCACCACUUAAAGGACCUGCCUGAGCGCCAGGGGCGGUCCCUCCGUGUGGGACAGGCUGGACUUCUGUGUGGACCGGGGAGGACUGUGGGCAUGGGGAGGACCCAGGGCGCGGGGAGGCGUCCUGAGUGACAAACUCCAAUGAAAGAGCCACCGACCCCCGACCGGGAAGGACAGAGGGGUCCCGCUCCGCCUUUUCAGCCCCUGGGACUGUUGUCAGCCUAUUUGAAUAAUAAACCCACAAGAUAAAAGAACGCAA